UUGCAUCGAUGAAAGAACGCAGCGAAAUGCGAUAACUAAUGUGAAUUGCAGAAUUCAGUGAAUCAUCGAGUCUUUGAACGCACAUUGCGCCCUCUGGUAUUCCGGAGGGCAUGCCUGUCCGAGCGUCAUU
rnacentral:rRNA from 1 species